GAAGAUUUCAUGGAGGAGGAAUAAUCCUCAUGGACUAUAGAAGAUAGUAAUCCAACAUGAUUAGAAGCUCUGACUUCUUGAUUUUCUUUUGGAAGGACAGAAGCAGUUGAAGUGGAAGACUCCUGGGCUGCCAUCUGUACCACUACUUUUCUGCCCUGGAGAAAGUGGCCUGGUCAGGGAAGAGUGUCACUUUGAUUGUGACUUCAGGAUCCUGAUGCCUGCAAGGAGUGAAGAGAUUUGCUCAAGGCCAGCCUACUACCGACUUUAUUAGAGAGCUAGAGUUAGAACCUUGAUUUUAUGAACUCUCAGACAAAGCAGAGCUCUUCAACUUCAUAAUGCCUCCUUCCAUCCUCUACUAAUGAUUAUGAAACAUACAUUUUUCUUUGAUUCUCAGAAUUUCCCCCUAUGGCUAACACAAUUUACUUGAUAUGUGAGAACAUAGCACAAAAUAAAAGUUGCAUUGAGUCACAGGGAAAUAAAA
rnacentral:lncRNA from 1 species